rnacentral:lncRNA from 1 species
GGGGAUAGCCAUGGCAGAGAGAAUGUUCAUGUAUUCACUGGCUUCACUCAUUCAUUCUUUCGACUGGAAGUUGCCUGAAGGAGAGAAAUUAGACCUUGAAGAGAAGUUUGGGAUUGUUUUUAAGAAGAAACUGCCUCUGGUGGCUAUACCUACUCCAAGAUUAUCCAAUCCAACUCUCUAUGAGUAAAAUAAAAGAUGCAUCUCUAUGUUGGCAAUGGUCUUAUGAACAACUCAAAGUUCUAAUGUUCCAUGUGAAACUAGUUCCAUGACUCCUUUAGUAUUAUAUACUGAAUUGAAUUUGAGAUAUCAAUACAUGUAUAUCAUUUUAUUUGGAGUACGUAAAUGAUUUCAUACCGUUCCUUGUUUAGUUUGUGUUCAUAUAAAGAAGAUAUGGUUGGCAUCUCCCUGAUAGAUAUGUAAACACCCCUUGAACAAAUUGUGAGAUAUAUUGAAAAUAAAUCUUUAUCCAAGUUUACAUCAAACACAUAUUAUAUUAUACAAUGCAUAUGUAGAUUUUAAUGCGCUAAACCAAAUGUCCAAUCACAAAUACAAAUAUUAUAAUAAUUAUGUUGCUUCAUAAUGAAUCCUUAUAUUAAGUCGUGUACAAGUUAUCUUAUCUAACCAUGAUCAUAAACUCUGAUAUUUAUGCAAACUAAAAAUGUUGUGUACUCUUUUAAGAGGUUGAUUAAUAUGCUGAAUUAGUAUUUGAAUUAAACUGGAAAAAACUUACUGCUGUUAGUAGCUCUAAAAAUAAGGGCAGAUUGGAUUUUUCCGAGGAGAUGUGAGAUAAACUCCAGAUUAGAGUGAUCUGCGCCUCAAUCAACUGAAAAUAAGCAUGGCAUGCUUCUUUAGAGAAACUGCAUAUUCAAUGCAUACAUGACAAUUUUUUUUCUUCUUUUUGCCCAAACAAUUAAAAAAAAAAGAAAAAAGAAGGAAAGAAGUGGUCCCUAUUUAGAAACAAGAAACAAUUUGGGACCAAUAGUACAUUGUUGUUUAUUUCCCUUGAAGUAACAGUAUGAGUGUGGAGGUAUCUAUAUUCAUUUUCAUCUUAUGGGACUGUCAAACUACUAAUUUGUCUUGAUCCAAAAUAUCUGUCUUCAGAAUUCACCAUUUUCUUUUAAGUGGUGUUAAAGCAUUGAGCUUCCAAUCACGUUGGUUCAGCCUUUUUUCUACACCACUGCUCUUUCUAAUCUCAUUUUCCUCUAAGGCUCAAAUAAUGUCUCUCAAGUUCUUCAAACCUCUAUUUGAUUAUUGGCCGUGGCGUUUGCAUGAAGCCAAUAUUGAGCAAAAUGGUAUCUUUUUCUCCAAUAUUCUUGGAAUUGUAGCUUUACUAUUGUUUGUUUGGAUUUUCAUCAAGAAGUCAAAGAAGGGACAACCCCCAUUGCCACCAGGGGCUAAAGCUUUGCCUUUAGUAGGUAAUCUCCUCUCUCUUGAUCCUGAACUCCACGCCUAUUUUGCAUCACUUUCCCAAACUUAUGGCCCUAUUUGUAGACUCUGGCUUGGUAAAAAAGUUGGGAUUAUCAUUACCUCUCCUGCUUUAGCUCGUGAGGUGCUUAAGGAACAAGAUACUAUUUUUGCUAACGGAGAUGCGCCUGCUGCUGCUAGAGAAUUUUCAUAUGGUGGUAAGGACAUAGUUUGAACUUCUUAUGGACCAAAAUGGCGCAUGUUGAGGAAGAUUUCUGUUCGUGAAAUGCUUAAUGGUUCUACUUUAGACUCCGUUUAUGCACUAAGGCGACGGGUGUUUAGACAGACAGUUAAUUACUUAUAUAAUCAGGCAGGUUCACCAGUGAGUAUCGGUGAGCAGAUGUUCUUGAAUGCUCUUAAUGUGAUUACGAGCAUGUUAUGGGGUGACACAGUGAAGGGUGAGGAAAGAGCUAGUCUCGGUGCAGAGUUUAGGCUUCUUGUGACUGGGAUGACUGAGCUGAUAGGUACUCCGGAUGUUUCGGAUUUUUACCCGGGCUUGGCUAGGUUUGAUUUGCAAGGUGUAACAAAGAAGAUGAAGGUGUUGGCAAAGCGGGUUGACAAGAUAUUUGAGACCAUUAUUGAUCAAAGACGGAAAACGGAUAGAGAUGGUGGGAUGGGAAGUGGUGUUGGCCAAGAAAGGAAGGAUUUUUUACAGGUUUUGCUGAAGUUGAAAGAUGAUGCCGAUGCCAAAAUACCUCUGACCAUGUCUGAACUCAAAGCCUUACUCAUGGUAUGUUUUGUCAUUUGUGCAUUCCACUGUAGGAAAAGUCACUUUAUCAGAUCUGAUGUUGGUUGUUUCCUUCUAAAUGUGUUUUUCCAAAUCAUAGUCAUUACUGCAUCAUUACCGAGUAGUCAAUAUUGCAUUUGCCUUCAACAGUUCAUACCUUAUCUAUGUGGAUGAAUAAUUGGCUUACACUGAUCAUGAUGGCGGACCUUCUUUUAGUUAUAAUAAAAAGAUCGAAUCAAAGGAAAGAGUGGGAUUGUAAAUUUAUAGAAGAAUUUUUUGGCGUAUGAGAAAUAAAUUGAAGUCUUUUUCGAAACUACUGUGAUUAUGAUUUCCUUGAGCUGAGGGUCUAUCGGAAACAACCUCUCUACCUUCACAAGAUAGGGGUAAGGUCUGCAUACAUUACCCUCCCCAGACUCUACUUGUGGAUUACACCGGGUAUGUUGUUGUCGCUGUUGUAUGAGAAAUAAUUUAAGAAAAUCAGAUUCAUAAACUCAUGUCCUGAACUUUGGUUGCAUUCUUCUACUAUAGCAAACUUCACUUGAAAUGGAUGUGGUGCUGCUUUCUAAGUUUGCAUUUGCGUGAUAAACAGUCGAUCUUUAUUAAUUAUGGAUGAAUAAUUGGCUUAGUGUGAUAUUUUAGUCAUAAAAAGAGGAUCAAAUGCUAACAAAAAUGGAAGAUGCGAUUGCAAAUUUAUCAAAGAACUGAUGUGGCAUAUAAGAAAUAAAUACAAGAAUCAGACUCAAGUAAUCCAUGUCCUGAACUGGUGGUUGCUACCUAGUUAUUGGAGUACACAUCAGACAACAUGUAAAGACUUAACUGUGAAUUCAGAGUAAACCUUGAACUGAACUCCAAUAUGCAGUUACAAAAUACUGAAUUGUUGUUGUACAUGAUAAUAACUUUUACAAAUACCAUGAACAGGAUAUGAUUGUUGGUGGAACUGACACAACCUCCAACACGGUUGAGUUUGCCAUAGCUGAAAUUAUGAACAAUCCAAAGGUCCUGAGGAAAUUACAACAGGAACUGGAGACAGUUGUGGGCAAAGAUAACAUAGUAGAAGAGUCUCAUAUUCAGAACUUACCAUAUCUCUAUGCAGUUAUGAAAGAAGUCUUGCGCAUACAUCCAGUGGUCCCACUAUUGGUGCCACAUUGUCCUAGUGAGACAGUCACUGUGGGAGGAUACACCAUUCCUAAAGGAUCUCGUGUUUUCAUAAAUGUAUGGGCUAUACAGAGAGAUCCCUCUAUAUGGGAAAAUCCGACUGAGUUCUAUCCGGAAAGAUUUUUGGACAAUAAAUUGGAUUAUAGUGGAAAUGAUUUCAACUUUAUUCCAUUUGGUUCUGGAAGAAGAAUGUGUGCGGGAAUAGCCAUGGCAGAGAGGAUGUUCAUGUAUUCACUGGCUUCACUUAUUCACUCUUUCGACUGGAAGUUUCCCGAAGGAGAGAGAGUAGACCUUACAGAGAAGUUUGGUAUUGUUUUGAAGAAGAAAAUUCCUCUGGUGGCUAUACCUACUCCAAGAUUAUCCAGUCCAACACUCUAUGAGUAAGAUAAAAUAUGUUGCUCUAUCCUGGCAAUAAUCUUAUGAACAACUCAAUGAAAAAUCAGAAGGUUCCAUUGUUAAUUCUAUCUGAAAUGGCUAAUGGCUGUGACUCCUUAACUAUUGUAUACUGUACCAAAUUUGAAAUAAUAAUACAUGUGUUACUUCAUCAAAGCACUUAAAAUAACAAAGCAUGAUACUGUUACUUCUUUAGUUAGUUUUCCUAUUAAGGGAGAGAUGAUUGGCAUCUCCCUGAUAGAUAUGCCAGCAGCCUUCUAGCACUGCAUGGAUAUUAUAGAAAAUAAAUCUUUUUCCAAUUUUAAAUCAAACACAUUUUACAUUAUACAAUGUAUACAUUGAUUUUAAUGCAAUGAACCAAAUAGCCAAUGACAAUUACAUAGUUGUGUCUUAUGAGCACAGAAUUGUGGCCUUCCAAUCGUGGGAUUUUUACCAUUCCUCCGCCCCAAUAUGCAUCACCAGCUUACUGAAUUGUCUCAAAGCUUGAUGAUACAGUUGACACUAUUAGAAAGUCAUCUUGGCGUGGAAUCAGGGGCGUACCCAGGAUACUAUUAGUGAAAUUCGGAGUGGUGCAGUUUCUUAUAUAUCGGGUAAAAAGCUUAGAUCUACAUUUCGUCUU